AGUCACAUAUCACUGAUGCCACAAUUAAUUGUGUCUUAAUGGAAGAGUAGAAAUUCCCUAGUCAGAGAAGGGGAGGGAGAGGCAUCCCCGGUCACACAAAUGCGGCUCAAGGACAGAGCAGUGUGACAGAGUGGCGUGUUUGGCAGACACCAUUUCAGUGCAGGUUAAAAGCAAAACGUGCAGGUGGUGAGAAUCUUCUUGGAGGAAGAAAUGUUCAAGGCUAGCUGACUGCAGAUCCGGGAAAGCUGGACGUGUUUAUAUCCGGGUUCUGCGGUUAGUGGCGAAGCUUGGACGGAGUUCGCCAGAACAGUGAUGUGACUGUUCUAUGAUUCGAGACAGGUGGUGAUUGUGUGCAAGACGGAUAAACAGGAAACAGAGAUGUCGGAGUGACCAACAGCUAAUCCCUGCAGACUGCAUUUACCCAGCUGACUUUUGGUUGUGUUCAGCCAAUAUAAGGCACGUGCAGGAGACUGAAGGAUGGGAGAAAGAUGCCAAGGUUCAUCUCUAUGACGAAGAGACAAAGAAAUCAAGGAACCAUUGAGCAAGAUUGACCAACAUGGCCCCACCAGCGUGAUUGCUCGGCUGACUGGAAUAGGAUGACCUUGGAAGCCAUAUUUUUAAGUUGGCAGAAUUCUGCAGCCUGGAUUUCGAAGCAACUAGGUGGAGUGGAGCUGCUUUCCCAAACUACUCAUUACUGUACUCGGAAGAAAUACACUUUCAGUAUUUUUGAGUAAUACGUUUUGGACCUAACUUUCAUACCAGUAAUGGAUCUCUCUUAACUCAUACCAAAGAGAGGGCUCAUGAGUUGAGAAAUCAUCCCGGAAGAUUUCUAUACACUCCAACGCUGUGCAGAGAGAGACAGGAAUCACAGAACUAGAAAGAAGUAACAAUCAUAAAAUUUCCUUGAAUCUACCUAUUUAAUCUCAAAUACUUGUUUUUCCAUAUCUAUACAAUGACUUUGUACA